CGAGUGUUAUAAGUUUUAUUAUUCUUUCUUUCCAAGUAGGAGAUCUCAGUUGUUUGAGCCGUUAUAUAUAGU
rnacentral:tRNA from 1 species